CUUCAUGGUGUGACUAAGCAAGCUGGGCUUUUGUUCUGCUGGGAUCAGACCAGAUAUUAGUUACUCUAAUGACCAUUGGAGGGAAUACCCCUCUCUGUCUCAUUAGAGAUAUCUUUGCCAGAAGCUCAGGGAAGCAAGGUAAAAGGUCAGUGUAGGACCCGCCUACGGGGGUCUGCCUUGACGUUGGCAGGCAGGCAUUGCC